UAUUUAUUAGAUAACAGACCAAUAUUCCUCGUGUCUAUUGUGGUGACUCAUAGUAACUGAUCGGAUCGCAUGGCCUUGUGCCGCGACUAACCAUUCAAGUUUCUGACCCAUCAGCUUUCGAUGGUAGUGUAUUGGACUACCAUGGCUUUCACGGGUAACGGAGGAUUAGGGUUCGAUUCCGGAGAGGGAGCCUGAGAAACGGCUACCACAUCUAAGGAAGGCAGCAGGCGCGUAAAUUACCCAAUCCUGACUCAGGGAGGUAGUGACAAGAAAUAACGGGUCGGGGCAUUCGCCUCGGGAUUGCAAUGAAUCGAAUUUACACCCCUUAAUGAGGAUCAAUUGGAGGGCAAGUCUGGUGCCAGCAGCCGCGGUAAUUCCAGCUCCAAUAGCGUAUAUUAAAGUUGUUGCCGUUAAAAAGCUCGUAGUUGAACCUUGGACCUGGCUGAUCUGUCCUCCUAAUCGAGCGCACGGAUUCGGUCGGGUCCUUCCUUCUGGGGAGCCCUAUGCCCUUCACUGGGUGUAGUGGGGAACCAGGACUUUUACCUUGAAAAAAUUAGAGUGUUCAAAGCAGGCCUU
rnacentral:rRNA from 1 species